AACGAACGCUGGCGGCAUGCCUAACACACGCAAGUCGAACGAGUGCCUUCGGGUGCUAGUGGCGCACGGGUGCGUAACGCGUGGGAAUCUGCCCUUUGGUUCGGAAUAACAGUUGGAAACGACUGCUAAUACCGGAUGAUGACGAAAGUCCAAAGAUUUAUCGCCAGAGGAUGAGCCCGCGUAGGAUUAGCUAGUUGGUG
rnacentral:rRNA from 1 species